UACGUAGGUGGCGAGCGUUAUCCGGAUUUAUUGGGUUUAAAGGGUGCGUAGGCGGCCCUGUAAGUCAGUGGUGAAAGUCUAUUGCUUAACAAUAGGAUUGCCAUUGAUACUGCAGGGCUUGAGUACAGUAUAAGUAGGCGGAAUGGAUAGUGUAGCGGUGAAAUGCAUAGAUAUUAUCCAGAACACCGAUAGCGAAGGCAGCUUACUGGAGUGUAACUGACGCUGAGGCACGAAAGUAUGGGGAUCAAACAGG
rnacentral:rRNA from 1 species